rnacentral:rRNA from 1 species
GUGCCAGCCGCCGCGGUAAUACCAGCUCCGCGAGUGGUCGGGGUGCUUACUGGGCCUAAAGCGCCCGAUAGCCGGCCCGGUAAGUCGUCCCUGAAAUCCACGGGCUCAACCCGUGGGUCUGGGGACGAUACUGCCGGGCUUGGGGGCGGGAGAGGCCGAGGGUACUCCCGGGGUAGGGGCGAAAUCCGAUAAUCCCGGGAGGACCACCAGUGGCGAAGGCGCUCGGCUGGAACGCGCCCGACGGUGAGGGGCGAAAGCUGGGGGAGCAAAGGGGAUUAGAUACCCCUGUAGUCCCAGCUGUAAACGAUGCGGGCUAGCUGUUGGGCGGGCUUAGAGCCCGCCCAGUGGCGGAGGGAAGCCGUUAAGCCGGCCGCCUGGGGAGUACGGCCGCAAGGCUGAAACUUAAAGGAAUAGGCGGGGGAGCACCACAAGGGGUGGAACCUGCGGCUCAAUUGGAGUCAACACCUGGAAGCUUACCGGGGGAGACCGCAGGAUGACGGCCAGGCUAACGACCUUGCCUGACUCGCGGAGAGGAGGUGCAUGGCCGUCGCCAGUUCGUGUUGUGAAAUGUCCGGUUAAGUCCGGCAACGAGUGAGACCCCCACCCCUAGUUGGUACCAUGGCCUCCGGGCCAGGGCCACACUAGGGGGACUGCCGCCGCUAAGGCGGAGGAAGGAGGGGGCCACGGCAGGUCAGCAUGCCCCGAAACCCCCGGGCCGCACGCGGGCUACAAUGGCGGGGACAGCGGGAUCCGACCCCGAGAGGGGGAGGCAAUCCCUGAAACCCCGCCGUAGUUGGGAUCGGGGGCUGAAACUCGCCCCCGUGAACCUGGAAUCCCUAGUAACCGCGCGUCACCAUCGCGCGGUGAAUACGUCCCUGCCCCUUGCACACACCGCCCGUC